rnacentral:rRNA from 1 species
CAGCCGCGGUAAUUCCAGCUCCAAUAGCGUAUAUUAAAGUUGUUGCGGUUAAAAAGCUCGUAGUUGGAUUUCUGUUGUGAGCAGCCGGUCCACACUAUGUGUGAGUAUCUGGUUGAAUCACUACAUCCUCCUGAGGAACAUGGUGCGCUUCAUUGCGUGGUAUGGUAAUCAGGACUUUUACUUUGAGGAAAUUAGAGUGUUCACGGCAGGCGUUUGCCUUGAAUAUAUUAGCAUGGAAUAAUGAUAUAGGCGAUCGCGUCUAUUUUGUUGGUUUCUAGACGCAAUCGAAUGAUUAAUAGGGACAGUUGGGGGCAUUCGUAUUAUGACGUCAGAGGUGGAAUUCUUGGAUUGUCAUACGACGAACUACUGCGAAAGCAUUUGCCAAGGAUGUUUUCAUUGAUCAAGAACGAAAGUAAGGGGAUCGAAGACGCUUAGAUACCGUCGUAGUCUUUACCAUAAACUAUGCCAACUAGAGAUUGGAGGUCGUUCUUUGUAUGACUCCUUCAGCACCUUAUGAGAAAUCAAAGUUUUUGGGUUCCGGGGGGAGUAUGGUCGCAAGGCUGGAACUUAAAGGAAUUGACGGAAGGGCACCACCAGGAGUGGAGCCUGCGGCUUAAUUUGACUCAACACGGGAAAACUCACCAGGUCCAGACAUAGUAAGGAUCGACAGAUUGAUAGCUCUUUCUUGAUUCUAUGGGUGGUGGUGCAUGGCCGUUCUUAGUUGGUGGAGUGAUUUGUCAGGUUAAUUCCGUUAACGAACGAGACCUUAACCUGCUAAAUAGCGCAAUGUAUCUUCGGAUAUAUAGUUCGCUUCUUAGAGGGACUUUGUUCUUUUCAGCUCAAGGAAGUUUGAGGCAAUAACAGGUCUGUGAUGCCCAAGGGCGAUUCGUUUAACCUGCAAGACUAGGUCC